CCCCCUCUAAUCAUCUCUCUCAUUCACUAUCUUCAGAGAGCACAAACCAAACCCUAGCGCCGCCCUAAUUUUCCCACCAUCUCUGGUGGCGGCGCCGUCCCAAUCGACCCCAAAAUUAACACCAUACAACCCCCAUGACAUUCUCAUGCCAAAUUCAUAACCAUUUGCCCUCGAAUUAGUCUGUAACUCUUCGAAUCGUGAAUCGAAUUUCUGAAACCUAAAAUCCCAAAAGCCUCAAAAUCGAGAUUUCAGUGAGGAUUUAGGUUUUGUUUGAUUUUAUUCGUGUGUUCUUGACAAGAAUUCGCGAUUAAGAUCAAACUUGACCAAAAAUUUGAAAAUUUGAAGGUCUCUUUCGAUUUUUCACUGUCCAUUACCACUUAUUAGGUAUUUUUCUUUAUCUUAUGUUAUUUAAUUUUUAUUUUUUUAGUUCACUUCUCAUCUUUUUCUGUUUCUUUCUUUUAUUUUCUGAUUUUUUUCCAUUUUUUCCAUCUCUUUGAACCAUCCGUGUUUGCAUGUUAGUUUUAGACUUGUUUAGUUGGUAUUUAUUUUCUGAUUUUAUGUUUGAAUGUGUUUUGAUUUUUAUUUUUAUUUGGGUCUAAAUUUAACAAGUCUUUAAAACUCUUUAAAUGAGCAUUCGAGAGUUUCUAAGUUUCAAUAUUGAUUUGGGUUCUGAAAAACUAAAAACCCAAAAAGGGAUUUGAAGCAGAUUCAUCAAGCCCAAUUUUAACAGCUUGAUUUGGAUCAAUUUGAACCAUGUCUGUUUGAUUUUUUAAGUAAUUAGCAUGGGUUUAGGGGUAGUCUAGGAAUUUAGGCUCGGGGAAUCUCUAAUAACUGAUUUAGGAAAGUGCCUUUGGGACUAUUUUGAAAACUGAGUUCUUAAGCUAAGGGUAUAGCAGCGAAUUUAAAAAUUGUAAAAGAUUUUAAGUGCAAAACUAAAUGCAUUUAUGAUGCCCUAACACCUUGCCUACAAAUGCAUUCUUACUUCAUUAACAAGGCAGAUGGGGAGAGACUAAAAUUCUGAAAAAGUUGCAAACGGCUGGGGUCUCUUUCAAGCUUUUAAAACACUAAAAUCAUGCUAAAACUGGGUUCCUAGUUUUUGAUUUUGUUUUCUUUGGUUCAUUAGAAUUUCUGAAAGUAGUAAUUGGCUUUUGGUUGGUAUGGAUAAUUGAAAAAUAGUUUAAGCUGGGGUUUAAAGUUUGUUUUGAGCUGCUGUUAGGAUCACUGUUUCAUUGCUGAUGCUAAACUGACCUCUGAUGCUGCUCUCUUGAUGAUUCUUCACCUCUUUGCAUCUCUUUUAAUUCCCAUGUACAUGUUCCUGAAUCUUAUCUAAUGUAAAACUCGAGUGGAAGAAUGAAAUAAAAUCCUAGCUCAAAUGACGAAUCAAAUCCAUAUUUGAAAUAUCAAAUCUCAAGCCCUCGCUUUAAUCUUUUUAAUGAAUUUCAACCAAUGUCCAUGUUAAUUCUAUCAUAAACUUGAAUAAUUAGGCCAAGGAACUUACCUCUAAUCGUUCUCCCUUGAAUCCCUCUUCAAAACUCGCCCCAAAGCUCUCAAAGCUUGCUAAAAAAUGGAGGAAAAUAAUGCCUAGCUCGCGGAGGAAAUAAGACCUUUAAACCCUUCUGCCAAUAGUCCUUUUCGCUUCUGCGAUUGGAAUACCGCACCGGCGUUCACCGCAUUUGCGCAAAUUUCACCGCUUCUGCGAUUCAACUUAAAAUCACCAGGACCGCUUCUGCGGUCCAAAGCCGCUUAUGCGGUAGACGCUUAUGCGAGAUCUUGUCCGCUUCUGCAGAAAAGUCAAGCCCCCACUAGAACCGCUUCUGAGACCUCCCCGCCGCAUAUGCGGAACCGCCUAUGCGGUCCCUUUUUCCGCAGAUGCGGAAAUGACAGAACCAGCAAUUCCAAAACAUGCAACAAACUCCAAACUCUCCAUUUAACCAUUUGAUCUCUCCCCGAAGACCCCAGGACCUUAACCAAGAGAACAUACAUGAUCCAUUACCUUAUUCAAACUUGCUCGAAUUAUCAAAUCACUUUCAUUAACAUCAAAAUCAUCAAAUUUCACCAAAUCAAAGCCUAAGUUUAUCAGUUUCUUCCGAAACUAACAUUCGAUAAAAAAUCCAACCUAAACACCUUCGCAGGAUCUGAAACUUUGCAAACAUAUCAAAAAUCACCUAACGGAGCUACUGCAACUAUCUGAAUUCCAUUCUAACCCUCGGAUCAAAUUCUCACCUAUCAACCGGAAUUUGCCAAAAUACGGACUCUGUCAAUUCAAACCUAAUUCUACAACGGACCUCCAAAUUCAAUUCUGAUCAUGCUCCUAAGUCUCAAUUCAUUCCCCAAAGCUAACCAAAUCACCAGAAAUUGCAUUCGAUCCCUAUAACUCACUAGUCAACAUCCAGUUGACUUUUCCAACUUAAGCAUUCCUUAAAGAGACUAAGUGUCUCAUUUCUUAUCAAAAUCAGUCCAAAUCAACUCUAUCACACCACAUACCGAUAACAACAUAUGAACAAGCUUAACAUAGGGGAAACGGAGCAGUACCACCUGAGAAGACGGGUCGGGUCAUCACAAUUUUGGGAUCCAAGUAAUAUGUAUGCUAAUUUUCUAGAUUGGUUACUGCUAGUAUUGGGAAGAGUUUAAUUGAGUUUACAUUUUAUUAAGUAGUAGUUAGUGCAAAGUCAUGUGAAAAGAAAAGGGAAAAAUGAUCAAGGUUGCUUUAAGAGUAAAGGCAUGUAGUGAUUUAAUCUUAGUUGUAUGUGAGCAUGUUAAGUUGGAAUUGGUGUUUAAAUUUCAGAAUGAUCAGCAAGUUAACUUGUGCUUGAAUAGUUAAAAUUUAAAAGUGAGAGUUAGUUCAAUUGCAUGUUUCAUAUAGCCUGGAUUGAUUUGCUUUUAAUGACUUUGUACAAUUGUUGGUUCUGAAAAUUUGGGCCUAAAGAUGGCCCAAUUAACGGAUGUCUGAUUUCAGAUUCGAUAUCAUAUUUUGUGUCCUUGGACUUCCUCUCCACAUAAAAAAUUGGGCUUGUUUGGCCCAAGCCUGAAGGUAUUUUAAAUGGGUUCAUGUAGUUGCUAUUUGCUGUAGCAAUUUGUCCUUGAGUUAAUUAGUCUUUUAAUUCAAUGACCAUUAUUUAAUAAGUAGGGCGAACUUUAGCUUGAAAUAAUUAGAACCCCUUGGUUGGUUUUGUUGGUAGUCUAACCUCCCCUCUUUCACAAGAUCCAAAGGCACAGAUAGCCUCUGCAAGCAAUCUACCAAUCAUCGUCCCUGAGGAUAGCCCAACAUUGGCUAUUCUAUAGCUAGAAUCAAUAGCUGCUAAAGAGAAUAAGAUAUUGCGUCUCCGCAUAAUGGAAAUAUGGGACGCCUGGUCUAAUGGUAGGGUACCACCAAGUGCAAUCCUUGGGUUCCUUGACUUGAUCCCCGUGUCAGGCCACGUUACCAACGCCCCUAUGCCCAACGCGCUUAUCCCAUGUGGGCACCCUCCAAUGCCCUCCAGUGAUCCUAGCAUGCCUUUGGUGGUUCACCCUGAAGGACCGUUUUCAAGGGCACCGCCUCCAAUAUUCAUCUUUCAGGGUCCACAGCUUCAGCCAGAAAUAACAUAUGUGACCCCAUACUCUUUCACUCAACCUCCAUAAUAUGACCUCUCUGCGGAGCAAGAAAAUUUUGUUAAAAAUCCCGAGCAAGAAGAAAUGGCUUGGAAUAUGAAGAGCAUAGAACAAAUCUUGGUAAACAUGCAAGGUUUGAGUGGCCAAAAGAGUGUAUCAUACUCUGACCUCUGUAUGUUUCCCUAUGUCCACUUGCCACCUGGCUUCAAGAUGCCAAAAUUUGAAAAGUACGAUGAGCAUGGAGACCCGAUUGCUCAUCUGAAGCAAUACUGUAACCAGUUGCGGGGUGCUGGUUGAAAAGAGGAGUUGCUAAUGGCCUAUUUUGGGGAAAGCCUCACCGGAAUCUCUUCUGAGUAGUAUACGAAUCAAGAAAUUACUCAUUAGCAUGUGUGGGACGAUAUGGCUCGAGAUUUUGUCCGCCAGUUCCAGUAUAAUGUGGACAUCACUCCCGACAGGAACACUUUGUCCAAUUUGAAAAAGAAAACCACGAAAAUCUUCCGCGAGUAUGCUGUCAAAUGGCGUGAGCAAGCUGCCAGGGUAAUGCCUCCAAUGGAUGAAAUUGAAAUGGUCACUAUCUUUCUACAUGCCUAAGAGGCUGACUACUUUCAAAACAUGAUGUCUGUUGUAGGUAAGUCAUUCGCUGAAGUUAUCAAAAUUGGGGAAAUUGUUGGAAGCGGUUUAAAAACGGGUCGAAUCUUGAGUCAUGAUGCUUUUAAGGCCACAUCACAGGCUGAUCAAAACAGUUCGGAGGGUUUGAUGAGCAAAAAUAGAAGAAAAGAGGGAGUCAUGAUGGCUUCAAGCUCGAGGGGGCUCACAUGUCAUUCAGCCAAUCAUACGUGUAGUAUUAUCCCCUUCAAUGACGAUUAUGCCGUGGCACCGCCUCCCUAUGUGGUGAUGAAUGCGCAACCCUACCUGGGACCACACCAUUAUCCAAAAAAUCAGGCUCCACCUCCUAGAAAUGCCCAUCCUUACCAAGCUCCAUAUAAUCCUUAACCAAAUUAUCCCCAAUAUAAUCCUCGCCCAAGUGAGCCUUUCAGAAAGAAUCAGUUCACCCAUAUUAGUGAAUCGUAUUCAAGCUUGUUCCAAAAGCUAAUCCGGCUAGAUCUAUUGCAUCUAGUGGCCCCGAACCGGUCGUACCUCAUGUCCCCCUUGCACCGAGCUAAUGCUAUAUGUGAAUACCACUCUGGAGCAGUGGUACAUAGUACAGAAGACUGUUGGACCCUCAAAAGGGAAGUUGAAGAUUUGAUUGAAUCUUAAAGAAUCAUUUUUCGGGAUGAAGAAGUUCGUGAUAGUAUGAACAAUCAGUUGUCUGCCCACAACAUUAGACCAAUAGUCGGGAUGGUUUGUGAAGAUGAGGAAUUUGAUCUGUUACUGAAGGCCAUUGCAACCAUUGCCGAGAUAAAAGAAAAGUCAAAGAAUGGUUGUCAAGCAUGAAAGUUCCCAUCAGAUGGGAGUCUCGGUAGUCAGCCUUGCUAUUCUUUCUGUGUCCGAGUUGUCUCAAGGUGUGAUUCGGAUGUUUUACUUUAUUGUAUUACUUUAGUAUGUAAACCCUUCUAUAUUCAAAAAUUUUUAAAAAUCAAAAAUAAAAAUAAAUCAAAUGAAAUCAAUAUUUCAUUGUCUAGAAAUAUCUCUUUUCUUAAUUCCACUUUUCUUAAUUCCACUUUUCUUAUUCUCUCUUUACAACUCUUAAAUAAGAUUUCAGUAACAUGAUAUGCUUGAGGAUUUCAUGCCUAGAUCUUGAAAGCUGUCAGAUCUCAAAAUAAUAAAUUAAGGAUUAGAUCGCAAUGAAGAUAAAGUUGAAGCAAAUAAAACAAAGAGUUGGAACAUCUGAAGGAAAAUUGGUUCCAGAUCGGAAAGGCCCAUACAUUACGACAAGAGUACUACCAAAAGAAUGUGUUGUACUUGAGUCACGUUAAAGGAAAUGUCCCCGAAACAACUGUUGUGCAAAUGUAGUCAGAAGGUGCUCUAUUUGAUCCUCCAUAUAUUAUUAAUAUUCUCCAGUUGGGAUGACGAAGGCUUUCAUUCUCGCUACCCAAACACUAUCAACCUUUGCAAACUCUUUGAGCCGGUUACUCUUGUUUGACUAUCCUCUUUGGAACUUGAAAGUGUCACUGAAAACAAAUUUUGAAAAAAAAAGUGAUGACGAAAAAAAAGAAAAAAAAAAGACAAAGAAAAUGAAAAAAAGAGAGGAAAAAGGAAAAAAAAUAAGAAAACAAAACGAAAAAGAGAAAAAAAACAAAGCAUAAAAACAAAAAAAUUGAAAAACAAAAGAAAACAGAAAAAACAAAAGAAGACCAAAAAACAAAGUUCCUUGAACUACGUUCGACUUGAUUCUGAAAAGAUACGUAGGCAGCCUCUCUCUGGGGUUCAGUCACACCAAUAUAAAAAUCAAAAUUUCCCCCGAAAGUGAAACUGGGGCGGAUGUUAAAAUGGUUCAACAAUGAUCUCACAUGAAUGGUUCCAAAGUUGUAACUCAAUCUAAUUCGUUUUUACCCCAAAACCCUAUUCAAGUCCUUCUGAUCAAUCGACAAAGAGGUUCGAAAUGGGAGGAUAGAGUUACUUGGAUCUAAUACAGUAAAAUUCGAUAGAUUAAAUGAGAGUCUUAUUGGUGAAAACCCACACGAGCACCGUGAGGUGACAGUAAGCAGAGAAACAAAAUGAGAGCGUCUUAAUGGUAAAAACCCACACGGGCACCGUGAGGCGACAGUAAGCAGAGAAAUUGAAAUGAGAGAGUCUUGUUAGUGAAAACUCGCAAAGAGCACUAUAAGGUGAUGGCGUGAAGAUAAAUGAGAGAGGUCAGCUCAUGAAAAUCUGCAAAGGGCAUCCCUAAUCAAAAAGAGGGUCCUCACAGCCAUCGGCGUCGACAGAGUCCUGGCAAGGUUCUCGAUUUCGAGGCAAAGUUGUGAUGAAUUUCUGAGAGUCGAAUGGUUUACAUAUAUCAGGCAUCCAGUCCAAAAAGGCAUGUCAUUUUCAUUGAAGUUCGCAUGCACUCCAGAUAAGUCCUUCUUUCUUCUCACCGAAAGGGAUACCUCUCGUUUAAAUUCAUUAUCCUGUCCAUUGUUUAUUUUUCUUUGAAUCCCUUUCGAUUUAACUUUAUUCCGGAACUGAGACAAAGAAGAUAUGGCAAGACUAAUUUACAGGGCUUUCGUUUGACAUGAGCUAAUGUGCAAAAAGGCACCUGGCCUCGUCAAGGGCAUCAAGUCGACCUCGACCAGCCAUGGCAGGCGAUGCUUCGAAAUCAAAACUCUCAGAAGGAGAAAAUCAAGUUGAAGUGCCUAUAAAUUCAAAUGAAGUUGAAAAUGUUGAGUCUCACGUGGCAAACCAUCUCGGCAAAAGUUUGAAAAGUAAAGGUACCAAAAUGAUCUGAAAUUAAAGUUAGAAGAAAGAAGCUCGAAGUGAAAGGCUUACGAAGGAGAAAUAAAGUUUGAAAGAUUAAUUCCCAAGCGACUAGCCGUUGCAGCAAAGUUUGAGGAGCCAAAAGUUUCCCAAUGUUCCGAAGAAAAGAAAAUAAAAUAAAAUAAAUGAAAAAAUGAAAAAAAUAAAAGAAAAGAAAGUCAAAAAAGAAAGCCUACGAAGGCAAAAUAAAGUAGAAAUGGUUGAUUUCCACGGACCAACCAUCAUGGCAAAAUCUGGAAAAACCAGAGGUUCUCAGGGCCUGAAAUUAAAUUGGUCCCCAGGAAACAAGCAGCAGAGAUUCUCACCAAAAGAGUUGGGGCGAGAUCAAGUGAUCAAAAAUAAUCAAGACCAAAAAACCAACUACCGUUUCAAACUAACAAUUGUUCUUUGUUUGAAAAAAUUAAAACAGGUGCAGUCCAAAGCAACCGUGCAACCAAAAAAGAAAAGAAAGGUGCAAGUGACAAAAACAACUUUGCAGCAAUAAUCAAUCCAAAAGGGAAGUAUCCUCCAAUUUCUUUCCUGCAUUUUAACUUUAAAAAAUGAAAAAAACGAGAUAUAAGAAGAAAAUCCGAAAAAGGGGGGUAGUUUAGAAUCCCCAAUAUCAAUCUUUUACUUUUUUAGCCAACAUAGUGCUCCAAUCCUUAAUAGAGAUUUUAGACAUAUGGCCUCCAUUUCCUAGUCGCCGUUUUUGCCAACAUAUGUCUUUAUUCCCUAGUUGAGAAUUUUUAGACAUAGGGCAUCCAUUCCCUAGUCGCAUUUUUGCCAACAUUAGGACUCCAAUCCCUAAGUUGAGAUUAUUAAACAUAGGGCCUCCAUUCCCUAGUCUCCUUUUGCCAACAUUUGGGCUCCAAUCCCUGAGUUGAGAUUUUUAAACAUAGGGACUUCAUUCCCUAGUCGCCUUUUUUGCCAAAAUUAGGGCUCCAAUCCUUGAGUUGAGAUUUUUAGACAUAUGACCUCCAUUCCCUAGUCGUCUUUUCUGCCAACAUUAGGGCUCCAACCCCUAAGUUGAGAUUUUAGACAUAGGGCUUCCAUUCCCUAGUUGCCUUUUUUACCAACAUUAGGCCUCCAAUCCCUGAGUUGAGAUUUUAGACAUACGGCCUCCAUUUCCUAGUCACCUUUUGCUAACAUUAGGGCUCCAAUCCAUGAGUUGAGAUUUUUAGACAUAGGGCCUCCAUUCCCUAGUCGUCUUUUUACCAACAUUAGGGAUCCAAACCCUGAGUUGAGAUUUUAGACAUAGGAUCUCCAUUCCCUAGUCACCUUUUGCCAACAUUAGGCCUCCAAUCCCUGAGUUGAGAUUUUUAGACAUAGGGCCUCCAUUCCCUCGUCGCCUCUUUCCAACAUCAGGGCUCUAAUCCCCGAGUUGAUAUUUUUGACGUAGGGCCUCCAUUCCCUAGUCGCCUUUUGCCAACAUUAGGGCUCCAAUCCCUGAGUUGAGAUUUUUAAAUAUAGGGCCUCCAUUCCCUAGUUGCCUUUUUUCUAACAUUAGAGCUCUAAUCCCUGAGUUGAGAUUUUAAGACGUAGGGCCUCCAUUUUCUAGUCGCCUUUUGCCAACAUUAGGGCUCCAAUCCCAGAGUUGAGAUUUUAGACGUAGGGCUUCCAUUCCCUAGUCGCUUUUUUUCCAACAUAGGGUCUUCAUUCCCUAGUUAAGAAUUUUAGAUAUAGGGAUCCAUUCCCUAAUCUUUCCUCCUAAAGACACACAGUCCUUAUUUUAUCGCUUUCAAAAAAAAGAAGAGAAAAGGUUUAGAUCUUAGUUACAAAUAACUCACGAAAUUUUCCUAGUGAAAACUGGGGCAGAAACAUUUUGUUCGUUUGUUUGUUUUGUUGUUUGAGAAAGUCUGACCUUGAGGCACAUGAUUCGAGAUUACAAAAAGAAUGAAUCUUAAUCCAAAAUAAAGAAAAGAACAAAAAAGAAGUGAACACAGAAUGCUGAAGUGGAGAAAGACGCGGGCUGCUCAAGAUAUGAUUGAAGUUACAAGCUCCGCAUGUGCCGCCUUGAUCCAAAGCUGGAGAAAGAACCAGCACCUACAGCUGAUGAGCAUCAACAUUCAGAUCAGAGUCCAUAGCAAGAAUUAGCUAAGACUCAAGAUCAAGCUUUAAGAGAUUUAUAGAUAAAAAGCUUGUACCUCGUAGCUGAUAGAAUUAGCUAGCUUAGCUUUUUAUUUUUUAUUUUGGUGUAAUAAGUUGAAAUUACAUCUUCCUGGUAGUAUCAGCUACUAAAACUUUUAGAACUAUACUGAUCUUAUUCUUUCAUAGCUAAAGAUAUGUAGGCACCUUUGAAGCAUGAUUCGGUCAGACUCUUUUCAAAAUUAUUUCUCAUAGAGUGUCAAACGGGCAAAAAUUCCUCAUAAUUGCUCAUUUUAUCUUUGCCCGAAAAUCCUUCGUGUCACCAAGCAAAGUGGAGCAGUUGUGAGCACGUGAAUUUUUCUCACAUGAAUUACUCAUACAGAAUUCCCAAAAUCAGAUUUUUCUUUAAUUAUUGGUUAUUUUAGGAAGUAUUGUAGAAUUUUCAUGAUUGUUCGCAUUUUUCGUGUGCAUGUUUAAUCUUUUUAAAAUCAUAAUAAACACAAAAAUACAUUUGCAUUUGUAUUUAGAAUUUAAUUUAAUAUUUUUAGACUAAUUAGUAAAUUAGUGUUUUACAAAAAUGGAAAAAUCACAAAAAAUAGUUUAUGUUGCAUUUUCACUCUUUAAUUUUGAAUUUUGUAGCUUAUUCUUUCAAAUCAGGAGUUAGUUAAUUUUUGUAAAUAUUAUACUUGAAUAAUUAAUAUUUUUGAUAGGUUAAUUUAGUUUCAAGAUUUAAAUUAGGUUUUACUUUUAAAUUUUGAAAAGGAAAAGAAUUUGGAAAAAGGAAAAAGAGAAGGGAAAGAGUUAGGGAGUCAGCUUUUUGGGCCAUCUCAUUUAAUAUUCCCCAAGCACAAACCAAAUUUCCCCCUUUUACCCGUUCAAACCCGAUCAAAUUGGACCAAAACCUAUGUGAUACUCGGUCUUUCCAACUCAGAACCAAACAACCACUUUUUGAUUGCCUGUAAUAUGAGACAUCGAACCUAAAUCCUCUUGAUCGAACGGCUCAGAACUGACCCCCAUUUUUAUAUAAAAUUGUCCUAACUUUCCCCCCUUAUCACCUCUUUCAUUCACCAUCUUUAGAGACCACAAACCAAACCUUAGCGCCGCCCCAAUUUUCCCACCAUAUCCGGUAGCGGCGUCGUCGACCCAAAAAUUAACACCAUACAACCCCAUGAGAAACUUAUACCAAAUAAAUAACUCUUUUCCCUCGAAUCAAUCUUGAACUCUUCGAUUCUUGGAUUGAAAUUCUGAAACAUAAUAUCCCAAAAGCCUCAAAAUCGAGAUUUCAGUGAGGAUUUAGGUUUAGUUUGAUUUUAUUCGUGUGUUCUUGAGAAGAACACACGACUAAGGUCAAUUCAGUCAAAAUUUGAAGAUUUGAAGGUCCCUUUCUAUUUUUUCUCUGUCCAUGACCACUUCUUAGGUAUUUUUCUUUAUCUUAAGUUAUUUAAUUUUUAUUUUUUAUAGUUCACUUUACAUCCUCUUCUGUUUCUUCCUUUUAUUUUCUUAUUUUUGUUUUCCAUUUUUUCUAUUUCUUCAAAUCAUUCGUGUUUGCAUAUUAGUUUGACUUGUUUAGUUGGUAUUUGUUUUCUGGUUUUAUAUUUGAAUGUAUUUUGAUUUUUGUUUCUAUUUGGGUCCAAAUAUCACGAGUUUUAAGACUCUGUAAAUGAGCAUUCGAGAGUUUUGAUCUUCAAUGUUGAUUUGGGUGCUGAAAAACUAAAAGAACAAAAAGGGAUUUGAAGCAGCUUCAUACCGCCCAAUUUUAACAACUUGAUUUGGGUCAAUCUUACCCAUGUCUGUUUGGUUUCUGAAGUAAUCAGCAGGGGUUUAAGGGGUAGUCUUGGAAUUUAGGCUAGGUAAUCUCUAAUAACUAAUUUAAGAAGUUGCUAGGAAGGUGCCUUUGGGACUAUUUUGAAAACUGUGUUCUUAAGCCAAGGGUAUAGCAGCAAAAUUAAAAAUUAUAAAAAGUUUUAAGUGUAAAACUAAGUGCAUUUAUGCUGCCCUAAAAACUUUCCUAUAAAGGUAUUCUUACUUCAUUAACAAGGAAGAUGGGGAGAGACUAAAAUUAUGACAAAGUUGCAAGACGGCUGGAGUCUCUUUCAAGUUUUUAAAACACUGAAAUGUUGCUAAAACUAGGUUCCUGAUUUCUGAUUUUGUUUUCUUUGGUUCAUUAGAGUUUCUGAAAGUCUUCAAAUUAAGCAGUUGGGUUUUGGUUGGUAUUGCUGAUUGAAAAAUGGUUUGAGCUGGGGUUUAAAAUUUGUCUUGAGUUGCUGUUAAGAUCAUUGUUUCUAUUGCUAAUGCUAAACUGACAUAUGUUGCUCCUCUAUUAUUGAUUCUUCACCUCUUUGCUUCUCUUUUAAUUCUCAGGUACAUGUUCCUGAAUCUUAUCUAAUGUGAAGCUCGAGUGGAAGAAUGAAAUAAAAAAUAAAAGUUUGAAGCCUAGCAUUAAAUUAUUUGUUCAUAGUUUAGUCUUAUUUCUUUUCUUUUUUCUUUUCCCUGAAUCCCUUUGUUCUUGAAGUUAUUUCUUGUAUUUUUGGUACUUCUUCAAUACUUAAUGGUGAAUCUUGUAUUACAUUUAUUACUUAACCUUCUUCUUUUGCUAAUCAUAUACUGUGAAAGUGAGGCUAUGCUUUUGGGAGUUUAGUAUCAUGUUGGAUUUAGUAGAUGAUGUGUUUGUCUUCCUAGAAUCUGUUGAGUAAUGAGAAAUGUCUUUUUGCCUAGGUACAACUUAGAUGAACUGCAUUUUGUGCAUGUGCUUGGGUGGUAGAGAAAUCUGUGUAGUACUUACAUGUUGCUUCAGCUUUUUCUUUCUGUACUCACAUGUUUAAAAGAAUGAGUCCAUGUUGUUGAGAAUUUUUUGGUGAUUUUGAGAUCCAAGUAAUUUGUAUGCUAAUUUUCUGGAUUGGUUACUGCUAGUAUUGGGAAGAGU
rnacentral:lncRNA from 1 species